rnacentral:rRNA from 1 species
CGGUAAUACCAGCUCUCCGAGUGGUAGGGGUGAUUAUUGGGCUUAAAGCGUCCGUAGCCGGCCUGGCAAGUCUUCCGUUAAAUCCAGCAACCUAAUUGUUGGGCUGCGGGGGAUACUGUUAGGCUAGGGGGCGGGAGAGGCCGACGGUAUUCUCGGGGUAGGGGUGAAAUCUUAUAAUCCCGNGAGGACCACCAGUGGCGAAGGCUGUCGGCUAGCACGCGCUCGACGGUGAGGGACGAAAGCUGGGGGAGCGAACCGGAUUAGAUACCCGGGUAGUCCCUGCUGUAAACGAUGCGAGCUAGGUGUUGGGGCGGCUACGAGCCGCUUCAGUGCCGCAGCGAAGGCGUUAAGCUCGCCGCCUGGGGAGUACGGCCGCAAGGCUGAAACUUAAAGGAAUUGG